CGAAACUCUUGGAAGUGUCCCUCUUAGCACAUCUAUAUCUACCCAGAUGGUGGGUGAGGGGUGAGAAAGAAGCUCCUAAGGAUGUCUCCUAAGGAUGACAUUCUAGAAAAUGGUCCUUGACAUGUUGCCAAUGGAUGCAAUUGUUCAAGUGAACCUCUUGAAAACACUCAGCGCUAGCCAGGCAACUGGAAGCAAUGCUGGAGAACAUGAGUCUGGGAUUCAGGGAGACCUGGUUUCAAGCCUGGUUCCACCCUUUACUGCCUCUGACCUUAGAAGUUUCUAACUUCUCUAAGCCUUCUCUCCGAGCUUCUGGUAGCCUUUUAACAAAUCCCAGUUCUGCUGAAGUUCACCUGGGUUUCCUCAUCUGCACACAGGAUUAAUACAAUGAUAACAAUAUUUUCCUUGGAGGGUUGUUGUGGGCUCAGGCGCUUGACCUUGUGCACAGACAAAUCCUCAGUUUUUGAUGUGGCCUACUACACGAAGAACUUCAUUUUGGAUAAAACGCCCGUAUCCUGGCUGCUUCAUCCUGCAGGCGGCAGGAUUUGGUUCCCUGUGGUUCCAGAUGGUGCCGGAUUUCCCCAUGUUGAGAGCAUAGCUCUCAGUUUGAUGUGGCAGUGUUUGCUGUGGUUAUGUCUUUCAACACACUUCCUGCUUUUCUUACAAAACAGAGACUGCUCAUCCCUCUCUUGGAGGCCACAGCCCAAACGCUUACAGGUUUAUUAGAGGGCCAACUUGAGCAGGCCUUGGGCACGUGUUCGGCCCCUCAGUGUGUGGCCUUUUUCUCUGCGAACAUCAGGGUUAAUCUAUUGUGGACUUUACUUUCUGUUGGAGUGAAUGAUUGCAAUUCUGUGAAGGGAACAUGAGGUUUGCAGCAACUCACAGCUUCAGCUUUCAAGUGGAAAUCUUGUUUGGCUCCCCCAGCAACAAGAGAAGAUAGAAUCCAGCCAUUUUUGUAGUCAAGAUUGCCUGGGUCACGUGAUCUCAAUGGCAAUGAUCACAGUUGCUAGAAAUUCAGAGAUUCCUAAGCUACAGGAGCUGAAAAGGGCCGGAGAACUUCUAAAGGCAACUCCUCUAUGUUUCAGAGGUGGAAGCAGAAGUCCAGAGAGGUUAAAGGACUGGCCCAAGGUCACACAACUAGCCUGAUCUUCAUGGUCAUUGUGGAAUCAUUCCAAAAAUAUUUUGGAUGCAUUUCUUUGCUUAGUCAUCCCCAUUUCCUACAACUUCUAACCACCAUAUGAUAAAAAUAAUGUAUUAACCAUUUAUUUUUUUAGUGAAUUUUGGCCUUAUGGAAAUAACAAAAGCCACGUUACAGUAUAAUUGGAAAAUAGAGGGGAAAAAAUCGCCCACACAAUAUUUGACCUGAUGUCUAUUUAACUAUUACUGUAAAAUCCUUUGGUAUUUUUCUUAUUUUGCUUUUUAAUUAUUAAAAUAUAGUUGCCUGGAGAUAAAAAUUUAAACAGUCUAGAAAGCCGUAAAAAGGAAGUCUUCUUCUCCACUCUUUUCCUAGUUUUCCUCCUAACAGGCAUCUUCUUUUGAUUGUUUCUCUUUCUUCUGGUAGCUACCUUGGUUGAUAUUGCUAGGUAGCACACUACACCUGUGUCUUCAUUCAGCCGCUUUAAGCACUAUCCGUAGCCUUUUAGCUACGACAGGUGAGUAACUCACUUAUCCACCGUCUUCUCCCACCUCCAAAUCACUGAUAGUUUUUAUAUCUUCCAAUGGUUAACUUUAUGAUUUUGCAUGAUAUUCAAUCUCUGCUUAUGGAGUUGUGGGUAGUAAUUGUUGAUUCCCUACGAUGUAAGAUAGGAAAUUAAUACCCCUUUACUUCCCUCCACUUCUCUCUCUCUCUUCUACUCUCCGCCCUCUCUCAACUACACCACUUGUUUUACAUUGUUGAGGGUUAUAGGGCAGGCAUUCUAUUUAGUAAAUUUGUCCUACGUGCUUUGUCAGAAAGUUAAUUCUGAUAAUUGAAAGCCAAUGAACAAACAGUAUUUAAAGUACAAAGAUGAUGUAAAUAUUUUUCCCUACAGAAGCAGGUAUUCUGCUGAGAUUUGUAGAGAGGAACGUUCCAAUGCCAAGGUCAAGUGGAUCUUCUUUUCUUAGACUCCAUCAGCUACACAAAAUCAUAAUACUUUUUGGUUGGUUUUACAUUUGGGCCACGAUAUAUAUAUAGAUUUUUUUUUUUCACAACUUACUGUUUUCUGGAAUUUUUAGUUGAUUGAUAAUAGAAACAUAUACCUUCUUUAUAAUAUUACAAAUACCUUCCAGAUCUUUAAUUAUAUCAUUUAUUGAGUGCUCCAAAAUAUACUGACUUUUGGCUAAGCCAACUGCACAUCUGGACUAGAAUUUCUUUAAUUGUAAUUCUAAACUAGUUUAAUUUUUUCAUGUCUCACAUCUUCCUCUUUCUUGGGUGGUAUAUCAUCAAGUAAUUUUAUUUCCACAAAGAAUGUAUGAGUCAGUUCUCUGAGUUCUUGCAUGUCUGAACAAGCCUUUAUUUCUCCUCCACUCUGGAUAGAUAGUUUGGCAAGAUGUCAGAUUUUAGGUACAGAAUUAUUUCUUAAACCUGGAAGGUAAUUGCUCCAUUGUCUUCAAGCAGCAGGUAUUGCUGUUGAGAAGAAUGAAGCCAAUCUCGUUUUUAUUCUUUUGCUGGUCAUCCUGUCUCUCUUCGUACUUAGGACCUCCUUUUAUUAUCAGCAUUCUGAAAUUCCAUGAGGUUGUUUCUGUGGAUCGUUCUUUGUUCAUUGCGCUGGGUACUUGGGGUCUUUCAAUCUAAAAUUUUUGUCUUUCUUUAACUCUGAGAGAUUUUCUUCAGUUAUUUCUUUGAUAAUUUCCUUCUCCCUCCUCUCCAGCUUAAAGUGAAGCCUAAGGUCAAUGCUCCCCUUCCACACCCAGAGAGGUGUCAGACAGCCCUCUCUCAGAGAAGAGGAAGCUCUCCCCAGUGACUUCAGUGAAGCCACCCAGCCUGGCACGCUUGCACAGGAACAGGCUGCCCCAAAUCACCAUUCACACACGAAAAUAACAGAAGGACCAGGAGCAGUAAACAGAACAAACCAACCUGGAGGAGGAGGAGCUCAGUAAAGGGGAAAGAACUAAACAGAAACCCUAAACUCUAAUUGUCUUCAUGAAGAAUCAAGAUGAUACACCCCUAAAACGAAAACAGUCUCUGAUUAGAAAAGAGCAGUUGGAAACUAAGAGUUUGUUUGAUGUUUAUUAGAUUUGUGGGGGAGGGAGAAUUUCAGAUCUUCUUCAACUCCCACAUCUUUCUCUGCCACCUCAUAUAAUUAAAA
rnacentral:lncRNA from 1 species